GAUUAACGCUGGCGGCGUGCCUAACACAUGCAAGUCGAACGAGGUAGCAAUACCUAGUGGCAGACGGGUGAGUAACGCGUGGUCAACCUACCGUUGAGUGGGGGAUAACUAGCCGAAAGGUUAGCUAAUACCGCAUACGUCUCCGAGGGGCAUCCCUUGGCGAUAAAAGGAGCAAUCCGCUCGAUGACGGGACCGCGUCCCAUUAGCUAGAUGGUGGGGUAACGGCCUACCAUGGCACCGANGGGUAGCUGG
rnacentral:rRNA from 1 species